AACGCUAGCUACAGGCUUAACACAUGCAAGUCGAGGGGAAACGAUAUUGGAAGCUUGCUUCCGAUAGGCGUCGACCGGCGCACGGGUGAGUAACGCGUAUCCAACCUGCCCACCACUUGGGGGUAACCUUGCGAAAGUAAGACUAAUACCCGAUGAUAUCUCUGGACGACAUCUGAAAGGGAUUAAAGAUUUAUCGGUGAUGGAUGGGGAUGCGUCUGAUUAGCUUGUUGGCGGGGUAACGGCCCACCAAGGCAACGAUCAGUAGGGGUUCUGAGAGGAAGGUCCCCCACAUUGGAACUGAGUCACGGUCCAAACUCCUACGGGAGGCAGCAGUGAGGAAUAUUGGUCAAUGGGCGAGAGCCUGAACCAGCCAAGUAGCGUGCAGGACGACGGCCCUAUGGGUUGUAAACUGCUUUUAUAAGGGAAUAAAGUGAGUCUCGUGAGACUUUUUGCAUGUACCUUAUGAAUAAGGACCGGCUAAUUCCGUGCCAGCAGCCGCGGUAAUACGGAAGGUCCGGGCGUUAUCCGGAUUUAUUGGGUUUAAAGGGAGCGUAGGCCGGAGAUUAAGCGUGUUGUGAAAUGUAGACGCUCAACGUCUGCACUGCAGCGCGAACUGGUUUUCUUGAGUACGCACAAAGUGGGCGGAAUUCGUGGUGUAGCGGUGAAAUGCUUAGAUAUCACGAAGAACUCCGAUUG
rnacentral:rRNA from 2 species